rnacentral:rRNA from 1 species
AACGUAGGACGCAAGCGUUAUCCGGAGUUACUGGGCGUAAAGCGUGCGCAGGCGGUUUUGUAAGUCUGUCGUGAAAUCCCCGGGCUCAACCUGGGAAUUGCGAUGGAGACUGCAAGGCUAGAAUCUGGCAGAGGGGGGUAGAAUUCCACGUGUAGCAGUGAAAUGCGUAGAGAUGUGGAGGAACACCGAUGGCGAAGGCAGCCCCCUGGGUCAAGAUUGACGCUCAUGCACGAAAGCGUGGGGAGCAAACAGG